GCUCGUGUUGUUUCUAGUAGUCUCGCAAGAAUUACUUCGCUACACUAAAUAUGAAGAACAAACUUGCGCUGGUGGUGCUGCUGGUGCUGAGCGCCGUGGCUCUGGCGAUCCGCCGGGCCCAUCGCCUACGCCGACCCUGAGCCUCACCAUGGAUACGGCUACGGUGGUGGAUAUGGGGGAGGUUAUGGAGGAUAUGGUGGAUACGGAGGAUACGGUGGAUACGGCGGUUACGGUGGAUAUGGAGGCUACGGUGGAUAUGGAAAAGGCUACGGAGGAUAUGGAUUCAAUAUUUACGGUAUAGCCGGUGGAUAUGGAGGCAUAAGGCCACCGUUCCUACCGGGUAUCGUCUUUUGAUGAGAACAUCUUGAAUAUAGGUGCGAUUCAUAAGGGGAACUGAAAUUACCGCCACAGUGAGACUCAUUACUAACGCAGGAAAUUACGUUCUGCUUCAUUUUACAACACUUCUCUUUAAUUUCACUUCUUGUCUGCUACAAAUAUUAUAAUCA
rnacentral:lncRNA from 1 species